UACGGAGGGGGUUAGCGUUGUUCGGAAUUACUGGGCGUAAAGCGUACGUAGGCGGAUUAGUAAGUUGGGGGUGAAAUCCCGGGGCUCAACCCCGGAACUGCCUCCAAAGCUACUAGUCUUGAGAUCGUGAGAGGUGAGUGGAACUGCGAGUGUAGAGGUGAAAUUCGUAGAUAUUCGCAAGAACACCAGUGGCGAAGGCGGCUCACUGGCCCGAUACUGACGCUGAGGCACGAAAGCGUGGGGAGCAAACAGG
rnacentral:rRNA from 1 species